rnacentral:rRNA from 1 species
AUGUCCCAAGAGGAGUUCGGCUUCGCAGGCGUUGACAGUGGCAGAAUCACGCUGCCCUGCGACGCAUCGGUGAUGGAGUACGCCAUGUGCUUGCUCAGGAGAAGCGCCUACGCAGAGAUGGAGGCCGCGUUCCUCAACACCAUGGCGAUGCCAUGCCACUAUCAUGCGACGGCAUAUCUGGGAGUUAGCCAGCAUUUUGGUGUCUGCAGCUCCUGA